UGGAACAUACAGGUAAGGGC
rnacentral:miRNA from 1 species